GUCUAUAGCCAUACCACCCUGAAUGCACCCAACCUCGUGGUCCCAGAAGCUAAGCAGGUUAGGGCCUGGUUAGUACUUGGAUGGGAAAUAGCCUGGGAAUACCAGGUGCUGUAGUCU
rnacentral:rRNA from 1 species